GGACUUGACCUCCGCCCGGCACCCUGGCGUAAGGGUGAUUGCCACAUCUCGGAUUCGCCGCGGGGCAACUACCUGGGAAAACCGCAGACUGGGCAGUGAAAGACUGCAUCCGGCAACCGGAUGCUGGGUUCUGUGACUCCAGGAAAAGGGGCUUCUGGGCCCAGGGAGAACAUACUGGGCGAUCCCGACAGUCGCCUCGUGACAGCCCACCAACCCCCAACCCUCUACCUCGCAGCCGCCCUAAAGGCGACUUCAAGAAGAUGGAAGGAUCUCACGGAUCUCAUUCCUGACGGUCCGCCGAAGUCUCACACAGUAGACAGACGGAGUUGAGAUGCUGGAGGAUGCAGUGUCACCUCCUAAACUUACGACCCACCACCAGACUUCAUCCCAGCCGGGACGUCCUCCCCCACCCGAGUCCUCCCCAUUUCUUCUCCUACUCUGCCGCAGUUCCAGGUGUCCUGCCUCCACCAGUCCCACAAAGCUCAAUAAAUACCAAGAGACCUGCAUUUACAGCAGGGGGAACAUCUCA